rnacentral:rRNA from 1 species
AUUGAACGCUGGCGGCAGGCCUAACACAUGCAAGUCGAACGAGUGGCGGACGGGUGAGUAAUGUCUGGGAAACUGCCCGAUGGAGGGGGAUAACUACUGGAAACGGUAGCUAAUACCGCAUACCAUGGGAUGUGCCCAGAUGGGGUUAGCUAGUAGGUGGGGUAACGGCUCACCUAGGCGACGAUCCCUAGCGGGUCUGAGAGGAUGACAGGCCGCAUGGGAACUUAGACACGGUCCAGACUCCUACGGGAGGCGGCAGUGGGGAAGAUUGCACAAGGGGCGCAAGCCUGAUACAGCCAUGCCGCGUGUAGGAAGAAGGCCUUCGGGUUGUAAAGUACUUUCAGCGAGGAGGCGUUACUCACAGAAGAAGCACCGGCUAACUCCGUGCCAGCAGCCGCGGUAAUAC